CCAGACUCCUACGGGAGGCAGCAGUGGGGGAGAGGGAACAAUGGGGGGAACCCUGAUGAAGCGACGCCGCGUGGGGGAAGAAGCGCCUCGGCGCGUAAAGCCCUGUCAGCAGGGAAGAAAAUGACGGUACCUGAAGAAGAAGCCCCGGCUAACUACGUGCCAGCAGCCGCGGUAAUACGUAGGGAGCGAGCGUUGUCCGGAAUUACUGGGUGUAAAGGGAGCGUAGGCGGGGAUGCAAGUUGGGUGUCAAAACUACCGGCUCAACUGGUAGUCGCACUCAAAACUGCAGCUCUUGAGUGAAGUAGAGGCAGGCGGAACUCCUAGUGUAGCGGUGAAAUGCGUAGAUAUUAGGAGGAACACCAGUGGCGAAGGCGGCCUGCUGGGCUUUUACUGACGCUGAGGCUCGAAAGUGUGGGGAGCAAACAGGAUUAGAUACCCCCGUAC
rnacentral:rRNA from 1 species